UAUUCAUGAAGAAAAAUGUGAGAAUGAAAUUGAAACGAUACAGAGAAGAUUAGCAUGGCCCCUGUGCAAGGAUGACACGCACAAAUCGAGAAGUAGUCAUGAUAUAG